UACGGGGGGAGCAAGCGUUGUUCGGAUUUACUGGGCGUAAAGGGCGCGUAGGCGGCCACCGCAAGUCAAUUGUGAAAUCUCCGGGCUUAACUCGGAACGGUCAACUGAUACUGCGGGGCUAGAGUGCGGAAGGGGCAACUGGAAUUCUCGGUGUAGCGGUGAAAUGCGUAGAUAUCUGGAGGAACACCGAUGGCGAAGGCAGCCUUCUGGGCCAACACUGACGCUCAUGCACGAAAGCGUGGGGAGCAAACAGG
rnacentral:rRNA from 1 species